GUUUGAUCAUGGCUCAGGAUGAACGCUGGCGGCGUGCCUAACACAUGCAAGUCGAGCGAUUCUCUUCGGAGAAGAGCGGCGGACGGGUGAGUAACGCGUGGGUAACCUGCCCUGUACACACGGAUAACAUACCGAAAGGUAUGCUAAUACGGGAUAACAUAUUUUGAUGGCAUCAUUGAAAUAUCAAAGCUCCGGCGGCACAGGAUGGACCCGCGUCUGAUUAGCUAGUUGGUGAGGUAAUGGCUCACCAAGGCGACGAUCAGUAGCCGACCUGAGAGGGUGAUCGGCCACAUUGGAACUGAGACACGGUCCAAACUCCUACGGGAGGCAGCAGUGGGGAAUAUUGCACAAUGGGCGAAAGCCUGAUGCAGCAACGCCGCGUGAGCGAUGAAGGCCUUCGGGUCGUAAAGCUCUGUCCUCAAGGAAGAUAAUGACGGUACUUGAGGAGGAAGCCCCGGCUAACUACGUGCCAGCAGCCGCGGUAAUACGUAGGGGGCUAGCGUUAUCCGGAAUUACUGGGCGUAAAGGGUGCGUAGGUGGUUUUUUAAGUCAGAAGUGAAAGGCUACGGCUCAACCGUAGUAAGCUUUUGAAACUGAGAAACUUGAGUGCAGGAGAGGAGAGUAGAAUUCCUAGUGUAGCGGUGAAAUGCGUAGAUAUUAGGAGGAAUACCAGUUGCGAAGGCGGCUCUCUGGACUGUAACUGACACUGAGGCACGAAAGCGUGGGGAGCAAACAGGAUUAGAUACCCUGGUAGUCCACGCCGUAAACGAUGAGUACUAGGUGUCGGGGGUUACCCCCCUCGGUGCCGCAGCUAACGCAUUAAGUACUCCGCCUGGGAAGUACGCUCGCAAGAGUGAAACUCAAAGGAAUUGACGG
rnacentral:rRNA from 1 species